rnacentral:rRNA from 1 species
CCCAGACUCCUACGGGAGGCAGCAGUGAGGAAUAUUGGUCAAUGGGCGAGAGCCUGAACCAGCCAAGUCGCGUGAGGGAAGACGGUCCUAUGGAUUGUAAACCUCUUUUGUCGGGGAGCAAAAAGGCCUCGUGAGGCCACAAGUGAGAGUACCCGAAGAAAAAGCAUCGGCUAACUCCGUGCCAGCAGCCGCGGUAAUACGGAGGAUGCGAGCGUUAUCCGGAUUUAUUGGGUUUAAAGGGUGCGUAGGCGGAUUUUUAAGUCAGCGGUAAAAUGUCCGGGCUCAACCCGGGCCGGCCGUUGAAACUGGGGAUCUUGAGUGGGCGAGAAGUAUGCGGAAUGCGUGGUGUAGCGGUGAAAUGCAUAGAUAUCACGCAGAACUCCGAUUGCGAAGGCAGCGUGCCGUGCCGCCACUGACGCUGAGGCACGAAAGCGCGGGGAUCGAACAGGAUUAGAUACCCCCGUAU